rnacentral:rRNA from 1 species
GAUGAACGCUGGCGGCGUGCCUAAUACAUGCAAGUAGAACGCUGAAGGAGGAGCUUGCUCUUCUGGAUGAGUUGCGAACGGGUGAGUAACGCGUAGGUAACCUGCCUGGUAGCGGGGGAUAACUAUUGGAAACGAUAGCUAAUACCGCAUGACAACAGUUAUUGCAUGAUAACUGUUUAAAAGGGGCAACUGCUCCACUACCAGAUGGACCUGCGUUGUAUUAGCUAGUUGGUGAGGUAACGGCUCACCAAGGCGACGAUACAUAGCCGACCUGAGAGGGUGAUCGGCCACACUGGGACUGAGACACGGCCCAGACUCCUACGGGAGGCAGCAGUAGGGAAUCUUCGGCAAAAGACGGAAGUCUGACCGAGCAACGCCGCGUGAGUGAAGAAGGUUUUCGGAUCGUAAAGCUCUGUUGUAAGAGAAGAACGAGUGUGAGAGUGGAAAGUUCACACUGUGACGGUAUCUUACCAGAAAGGGACGGCUAACUACGU